CCCGUUAGACAGCCUGGCUUGCUGGAGAUAUCGCAGUGUAAGGCAGGGAGCUGUGCAGCCUUAAAACUGCCUGGUCAGAAGGGAGUGCCCAGAAACAGGCAAAGGCUAGAGACCUGAAGCCUAACUGGGCACUCCUGCAGUGGACCUCAGAGGUAGGGGUGGGGGAGAGUUACCCUGAAACUGUGACAGAAGAUUGUGUAGCUGCUCUCACCACCCCACCUAUGAAACAGCAUUCGUUUUCUCACACUUUCCUGCAACACAGACUGAUAUGGAAGAUUUUGAACUGUAGACACAAUCUCAAAUGCAGGUCCAGAUUACUUGCAUCCAAGAAUUUUAAAAGAGCUGACUGGGGAGCCUGCUGGACCAUUAAUGUUGAUUUUCAGUAAGUCUUGGAACACUGGGUCACAACUGGGCUUUUGGCAUUUUCUUUUACAACUCCAGUGUGCAGAGCAGAUACAGAGGAAAAUGCCCUUCUCUCCUGCUUACAUCCCUGAGUGCUCUUCCCAUUAUUAGCAUUCCACGAUAUGGCAGCACUAUUUGUUGAUUCUGCAGUUUGACAGUGGCAGUCUGGACCUGUCCUGCAUCACCUCCUACAGCCAAGCGAUACUGAAAUCAACUCCAUUCUGUUUUGCCAAAGGACAGUCCUACAGUGAGAGAAGGUGGAGACCUCCUGAGGAUUUAGCAGCUCUCACAGCCCCCAUCCAUCCAAGGGACCAAAGACAGUCAGACUGGAACGAAUGCCCACAAAACAAGCAGCAUGGAUCAGUAUUUCUAAGCCAUGAAGCCUACCUAAUUUCUUUUUGAAAAUAUCUUAAGCAAGAAUCAUUUUAUGAGAGUCAGAAACAGACAAGUGCGUGUUUUGUAGCCUAUGAAUUUUACCAUGUAAAUCAUAUAAGCACAAAAACGCCACUAUUAUAUCCUGUGCAUUUCACUGAAUAAUUGAGUUUAAGCAAAACUAUAUUAAGAUUAAGCCAGCUCAACCCAACACCUCAGCUCCUGGGGGAAAAAAUAAUCAUGAGAUUCUCAGCAAGUUGUUUGGAACAAAGGUUAAAAAUAAUUUUCAUUGAUGUUCUGUUACC